GAGCUUUAAUAUCUUCUUACUUCACAAAUUUGAGAAGGGAAAUCUGACUGCACACAAACUAACAAGUAUGAAAGAUGCAAAAGUCGAAGCUUCAAUUGACCCAUUUCAAGGAACCAUUGCAACAAAUUUAUUAUACUGUAUAUAUAUACACGUUCCUCCUUUAAUGGGCUUUAGGUAGCGUAAAUUUAGAUCGAGAAAACAACCAUCUACGGUCUCUCAAAAUUUUAAUAGUUAAUGUUUUUAGCCACUUCCAUGAAAUGGCCUUUCGGCCCAAUUUAUUUGCAAUGUGUAGCCAUUUUUUAUUUCCAAUAUAUUUAUCUUCCUAAGACGGCAUUUAAUCCUAGCUUUUAUCU
rnacentral:lncRNA from 1 species